rnacentral:lncRNA from 1 species
UUUUUUUAUAAUAUUGUAUUUAUAAGUCUCUUAUAACACGGUAUUUUUUAAAUUGAUAACUAGUAUUUUAUUUUAUAAUAUUUAUUUUUUAUUGGUGUUCAAUUUACCAACAUGCAGAAUAACACCCAGUGCUCAUCCCGUCAAGUGCCCCUCUCAGUGCCCGUCACCCAGUCACCCCCAUCCCCUACUCUCCUCCCCUUCCACCACCCCUAGUUCGUUUCCCAGAGUUAGGAGUCUUUAUGUUCUGUCUCCCUUUCUGAUAUUCCCCAGACAUUUCUUCUCCCUUCCCUUAUAUUCCCUUUCACUAUUAUUUAUAUUCCCCAAAUGAAUGAGAACAUACACUGUUUGUCCUUCUCCGAUUGACUUACUUCACUCAGCAUAAUACCCUCCAGUUCCAUCCACGUUGAAGCAAAUGGUGGGUAUUUGUCAUUUCUAAUGGCUUAGGAACAUUCCAUUGUAUACAUAGACCACAUCUUUAUCCACUCAUCUUUCGAUAGACACCAAGGCUCCUUCCACAGUUUGGCUAUUGUGGACAUUGCUGCUAGAAACAUCAGGGUGCAGGUGUCCCGGCGUUUCAUUGCAUCUGUAUCUUUGGGGUAAAUCCCCAACAGAGCAAUUGCUGGGUCGUAGGGCAGGUCUAUUUUUAACUCCUUGAGGAACCUCCACACAGUUCUCCAGAGUGGCUGCACCAGUUCACAUUCCCACCAACAGUGUAAGAGGGUUCCCUUUUCUCCGCAUCCUCUCCAACAUUUGUGGUUUCCUGCCUUGUUAAUUUUCCCCAUUCUCACUGGUGUGAGGUGGUAUCUCAUUGUGGUUUUGAUUUGUAUUUCCCUGAUGGCAAGUGAUGCGGAGCAUUUUCUCAUGUGCAUGUUGGCCAUGUCUAUGUCUUCCUCUGUGAGAUUUCUGUUCAUGUCUUUUGCCCAUUUCAUGAUUGGAUUGUUUGUUUCUUUGGUGUUGAGUUUAAUAAGUUCUUUAUAGAUCUUGGAAACUAGCCCUUUAUCUGAUACGUCAUUUGCAAAUAUCUUCUCCCAUUCUGUAGGUUGUCUUUUAGUUUUGUUGACAGUAUCCUUUGCUGUGCAAAAGCUUCUUAUCUUGAUGAAGUCCCAAUAGUUCAUUUUUGCUUUUGUUUCUUUGCCUUUGUGGAUGUAUCUUGCAAGAAGUUACUAUGGCCGAGUUCAAAAAGGGUGUUGCCUGUGUUCUUCUCUAGGAUUUUGAUGGAAUCUUGUCUCACAUUUAGAUAUUUCAUCCAUUUUGAGUUUAUCUUUGUGUCUGGUGUAAGAGAAUGGUCCAGUUUCAUUCUUCUGCAUGUGGAUGUCCAAUUUUCCCAGCACCAUUUAUUGAAGAGACUUUCUUCCAGUGGAUAGUCUUUCCUCCUUUAUCGAAUAUUAGUUGCCCAUAAAGUUCAGGGUCCACUUCUGGAUUCUCUAUUCUGUUCCACUGAUCUAUGUGUCUGUUUUUGUGCCAGUACCACACUGUCUUGAUGACCACAGCUUUGUAGUACAACCUGAAAUCUGGCAUUGUGAUGCCCCCAGCUAUGGUUUUCUUUUUUAAAAUUCCCCUGGCUAUUCGGGGUCUUUUCUGAUUCCACACAAAUCUUAAAAUAAUUUGUUCUAACUCUCUGAAGAAAGUCCAUGGUAUUUUGAUAGGGAUUGCAUUAAAAAUACGGUAUUUUUUAUUUAAAUAACUUUUUGGAAAGAGUUCAUGCUGGAUAAUUCAGCUAUCAUCUUAUAUUGUAUACAAAAUUUGUCAACAGCUGAGCUUAGGGUAAGGAGAUACUUAAUAAGAAACUCCUGUAUAGAUAUCAGUCUUAAAAAUGUACUGAAUUUUGUUUUUGACCUUUUAAGAUACAGUUGAGGUUCCAUUUCUACAAUCUGUCUUGGGACAUUGGGACACUGUUGAAAUUGUGUGUAUAUUUAAACAUAAUAAACUUUGCAUAUUCUUAAAAAGUAGCAAUAACAACGUUUCAUUGAUAGUUGUAUAGUUGGAAUAAUUGUGAGUACAUUAAAGUGUGAAGUACUUUUAGUCACUGCCUAAUUUCAAAUAUAUGUGCAAGUUAUUAAAUUUAAAAUCUGAAACAAAAUUGUUUUAAUUACUUUACUUUUUUAUACUCAGUGUUCUAAAUCUUUACCUUCAGCCUGUUUCCUUCAGUGUCAUUAACCCAUCAGAAUAUCCUUUUGUUUAAAUUAUAUAUGGGAAGAAACUGGCAUUAAAAAAGGAACAGGGAUGGGGAUCCCUGGGUGGAUCAGCGGUUUGGCACCUGCCUUUGGCCC